CCUACGGGUGGCAGCAGUGAGGAAUAUUGGUCAAUGGACGCAAGUCUGAACCAGCCAUGCCGCGUGCAGGAAGACGGCUCUAUGAGUUGUAAACUGCUUUUGUACGAGGGUAAACUCCGAUACGUGUAUCUGUCUGAAAGUACCCUACGAAUAAGGAUCGGCUAACUCCGUGCCAGCAGCCGCGGUACUACGGAGGGUUCAAGCGUUAUCCGGAUUUAUUGGGUUUAAAGGGUGCGUAGGCGGUCGGUUAAGUUAGAGGUGAAAUCGCGGGGCUCAACUUCGGAAUUGCCUCUGAUACUGUUAGGCUAGAGGGUAGUUGCGGUAGGCGGAAUGUGUGGUGUAGCGGUGAAAUGCUUAGAGAUCA
rnacentral:rRNA from 1 species